rnacentral:rRNA from 1 species
UACGUAGGGUGCGAGCGUUAAUCGGAAUUACUGGGCGUAAAGCGUGCGCAGGCGGUUCGUUGUGUCGGCGGUGAAAGCCCCGGGCUCAACCUGGGAAUGGCCGUUGAAACUGGCGAACUGGAGUGUGGCAGAGGGGGGUGGAAUUCCGCGUGUAGCAGUGAAAUGCGUAGAGAUGCGGAGGAACACCGAUGGCGAAGGCAGCCCCCUGGGCUAGCACUGACGCUCAGGCACGAAAGCGUGGGGAGCAAACCGG